CCUAACACAUGCMAGUCSAACSCGGUUACCCCGCAAGGGGUAACUGAGUGGCGAACGGGUGAGUAACMCGUGGGUGACCUGCCUUCGAGUGGGGGAUAACGUUCCGAAAGGGACGCUAAUACCGCAUGAAAUCCUGCCUUUGAAGAGGUGGCGAUUAAAGCUGGGGAUCGUAAGACCUGGCGCUUGAAGAGGGGCCCGCGUCCGAUUAGCUAGUUGGUGGGGUAACGGCCUACCAAGGCGACGAUCGGUAGCCGGCCUGAGAGGGCGGACGGCCACACUGGGACUGAGACACGGCCCAGACUCCUACGGGAGGCAGCAGUGGGGAAUUGUUCGCAAUGGGCGAAAGCCUGACGACGCAACGSCGSGKGGRGGACGAAGAUUUUCGGAUCGUAAACUCCUUUCGAUCGGGACGAACGACUGGUGAUCUAACACAUCAUCAGAGUGACGGUACCGAGAGAAGAAGCCCCGGCUAACUCCGUGCCAGCAGCCGCGGUAAUACGGGGGGGGCAAGCGUUGUUCGGAAUUACUGGGCGUAAAGGGCGCGUAGGCGGCCUGCUAAGUCACACGUGAAAUCCCUCGGCUCAACCGGGGAACUGCAUGUGAUACUGGCGGGCUUGAAUUCGGGAGAGGGAUGUGGAAUUCCAGGUGUAGCGGUGAAAUGCGUAGAUAUCUGGAGGAACWCCGGUGGCGAAGGCGGCAUCCUGGACCGAGAUUGACGCUGAGGCGCGAAAGCUAGGGUAGCAACGGGAUUAGAUACCCCGGUAGUCCUAGCCCCUAAACGAUGAGUGCUUGGUGUGGCGGGUAUCGAUCYCUGGCCGUGCCGARCUAACGCAUUARCACUCCGCCUGGGGAGUACGGUCGCAAGGYUGAAACUCAAGAAAUUGACGGG
rnacentral:rRNA from 1 species